AGGUCAGAUAUUCUGUCUUUCAGUGAUAUACACCCUGGAACACAGGCUAGCUGAUCUGG
rnacentral:pre_miRNA from 1 species